rnacentral:tRNA from 1 species
GCCCAGGUAGCUCAGUCGGUAGAGCAGAGGACUGAAAAUCCUCGUGUCGGUGGUUCGAUUCCACCCCUGGGCACCA